UACGUAGGGGGCAAGCGUUGUCCGGAUUUAUUGGGCGUAAAGAGCGUGUAGGCGGCCAGGUAGGUCUGCUGUGAAAACUCGAGGCUCAACCUCGAGACGUCGGCGGAAACCCUCUGGCUAGAGUCCGGAAGAGGAGAGUGGAAUUCCUGGUGUAGCGGUGAAAUGCGCAGAUAUCAGGAAGAACACCCGUGGCGAAGGCGGCUCUCUGGGACGGUACUGACGCUGAGACGCGAAAGCGUGGGAGCAACAGG
rnacentral:rRNA from 1 species